AAUCUGCCUUUUACUAGGGUAUAGCCCAGAGAAAUUUGGAUUAAUCCCCUAUAAUAUCAUUUAAUCGCAUGAUUUUAUGAUUAAAGCUUCGGCGGUAAAAGAUGAGCAUGCGUCCUAUUAGUUAGUAGGUGAGGUAACGGCUCACCUAGACUCCGAUAGGUAGGGGUCCUGAGAGGGAGAUCCCCCACACUGGUACUGAGACACGGACCAGACUCCUACGGGAGGCAGCAGUGAGGAAUAUUGGACAAUGGACGAAAGUCUGAUCCAGCUAUGCCGCGUGCAGGAUGACGGCCCUAUGGGUUGUAAACUGCUUUUAUACAGGAAGAAAAACUCCGACGUGUCGGAACUUGACGGUACUGUAAGAAUAAGGAUCGGCUAACUCCGUGCCAGCAGCCGCGGUAAUACGGAGGAUCCAAGCGU
rnacentral:rRNA from 1 species